AGUGUGUAACUCUGGAGCUUCCCUCUGGGCUCAGGUGUAAUUGCUGGGGGCUUAGUUGUAGAUUCGAAGGGGGAGAGACAAAGAAGUCUGCUCAUGCCGCCAUCUUGGAUCUUCCAAAAAACACUUCUUUUUAUAAAGGAACCCUAAUUUGUGCAACAUAUUUUUUUUCACAACCAGGUGAUUCUGAGCAUCCUUGUAGCUUCUGCAGAACUGGAAAAUGAACAGCAAAAUGCAACUGUUCAUUGGACAAUCUGAGAGUCUUACCUGAAGCUGUGGGCUUGGAUGAAGAGGAUGACCUUACCAAAAGCAAGAGAACCAUUUUUUGGUUAAAGACAGGUCAUGACCGCAUGAGUGACCCUUAACCAGGGCUUCUCCCCACAUGCUGUGGACUACUUAGGUAUUAUGUAAGGUCUGUGAGCUAUUUUC
rnacentral:lncRNA from 1 species